rnacentral:misc_RNA from 1 species
UGCGUCUCCCUCCCUCUCUUCGGAGACGAUAAAGUGCCACACACACACACACACACGAGACCGAUUCCACCCUUCCCCUCCCUCGCGUCCCCUUGUGGCUGGCAGAUAAGAAGGAUACACACGUCAAUACUGGUGUAAGCACUCGUGUCAGCUCCUUCCCCUCCCUCUACAUCCCACGUAGACAAGAAUGCCGGUGAAGCCACAGUUCACAUGGGAGCAAACGGGCGAGGACGUGCUCCUGCACAUCACCAUCAAAGGCUGCAAGAAGGACGCGGUCGAUGUUCUGAUUGCCGACGUUUUCGUGAAGGUCAAUGCACCGCCACAGUACUUGCUGGCGCUCGACCUGCUGCACGCAAUUGAUUCAUCCAAGUCGUCACAGUACUUCACCGACGCGCAGGAUGGCAUCAUUCUGCACGUCAAACUGCACAAGGCGGAGGUGGGCCGUGUGUGGGACGCUCUUAGCGUGCGUCAGUCCUCCGUCGGCAAACAGGCAUUGCUGCAGCGGCGACAAGAGUCGAUGCAAAGAGCGGAGCAGCAGUACCGGGCACAGCUGGAUGCACGCGUGACACAGCGUGAGAUGGAGAAGCGUCGUAUGCUGGAGGCCCAGUGGGAGGUUGAGAAGGUGCAGCGCGCGCAGAUCGAGCAGCGUGUGAAGGAGGAGAAGGACGCCGCGGAGACGGAGCUGUACGCGUGGGAGGACAGCCACACGACUCCAGCGGCGGACACAGCCUCCGCUUCACCGCUACCACUCGCUAACACCAAACUCGCGAGCCCUCCACCGCAUUCGGCGGAGAUCGCCGCUGCUGCUACUGCUGCCGCCACCGCGGCAUCAUCACCGCUGCCGGCGACGGCUGAGGUUGCUCCGUCUGUGACGCCGACAUUGUCCUCGUCGGUCGCCACGCCGCCGGCGAUUCGGCAGGUGGACACCGUCAACGUCACCAUUGACUUUACACCGAAGACCUUUGCGAUGCCGACUCGCUCGCACGGGGAUGAGGAGUACUACCGGCAGAGUCGCUACAAGCCGGUCUCGAUUGAGGACACGCCGAUGUUCUGGAAGGAGCGGGCAGACAAGUGCUACCGCACGCAGCAGUGGAAGGCGGCGGCGAACGCCUACUCAGAGUCUAUCAAGCGCGACGGCGCCUUCUUGACUUGCGUCAUGAAUCGGUCCGCGUGCUACCUGCAGAUGGCAGACUACAAGAGGGCAAUCGAGGACUGCUCGCUGGCGCUGACCAUGCUGGCCAAUACACCGGCGAGCGAGGUGACACAGGAGCGGUACCGAGGGCUCAUGACGAAGCUCCACGCCCGCCGCGGCGCCGCCUACUGCUGGGCAGAUGACCUCAAGAGCGGCGUGGCGGACCUGCGCAUGGCGGCUGCCUAUCGAGACCCGACAAGCGACGACGACGUAGCGGCCGACUUGGCAAUGAUCGAGGCUCAGAUGAAGGAGCGCGGCAUCACUGAGGUCGACGCGCGCGCCGACCCUCUCUCCACCCGCAUGCAGGAGGCGGCGGCGCAGUAUUACCAGGGUUCGUACGAGGCUGCCGAGGCCACCUACAACACCAUCCUCAAGGAACAGCCCUUUCACAUGAAGGCACAGGGAAACCUCGCUGCUGUGCUGCUGCGCGCGGGCAAGUUCACACAGGCCCUUCAGGUUUGCGAUGGCAUCCUGCAGUUCUGUAGCGAAGUGGCUGCUGCGCUGGAGCAGCCUGGUGGCCUCGCGGGCGACCAGCUCGACAGCGACGAUGAGGAGGACGAGGACGAGGACGAGCCUGGCUGGGCAGCAUCGAAGACAGCGAGUGCGCUGGAAGAGGUGGAGGGGGCAAGCAACAAGGACGCCCUUGUUCGCCAGCGCCGCGCAGCGGCAAAGAAGCUGGGCGAGCAGAGCGGCCACGUGUACAUGCUGCUGAAGGCUUACGUGCGCAGCGCAGCCGCUCUGUGCGGAAUGAAGGAGUACCACAAAGCGCAUGGCUGCCUAGAGCGCGCGCUGCGCAUUACGCCGUACGACAACGACUUGCGCGACGACUGCAACCGAUUGGCUGAGAAGAUUCGGAUGGACACGCUCAUCGCCGCGUCUGCCGGCUCGGCACGAGCUCAGAAGGCUGCUGCGUAAGGGCACGAGGGCACUGCUACUCCUCUUUUUAUGUAUGUGUGUGUGUGUGUGUGUGCGUGUGCCUGCCACCCCUCUUUGCGGCGCUGAGCGGCACCGGCAUUGCAGCUUCAGUCUCCUUCUCGAAGACUAACACACGCCCGCACGCACCAUUUUCUUUCACGCGCCAUAGGCUGCGCGGAGGUGUUUGCCCACCAUCUUCGGAGUGUGGCUCCGUUUGUGGACGCCCGCUUGCGCCUUCACAUCUGUCUCUGUUUUGUUCCACUUCUGUGCGCUUCUUCGCUCCUUUCUUUGGUUGUUCGUCCUCUUCUCUUUCGUGUUCCCUUGUGAUGUAUGGCACGUGCGUGUGAUGGACGGAGGGCCGACCACGAGAGAGGAAAGCGAGCUGGAGUGUGAGAUGAAGCGUUGCGGCUCCUGGUGACAGCCACAGUGCCGCGUAUUUUAGCCACGGUAAAGUUGUCUCGCUCUCGCUCGCUCGCUCUCCAUGGAAUCGACGAUGGCCGUGUUGUUGUUGCACUGACUGCCUUAUUCGUUCCUCGGAUCCGCUGCUUUUUUUUUCGUGUGUCUGUUCGUGGAUAAUGCGCUGGUGUCUCAAGUGUGUGCGACAUAGAGCAGCAGGGUGGAGUGGCAGUCACAGCGACUACGGUCGGUGGCGAGUAUGCGUGGGAAGGUGGCCAUGGCGGUUCUCACAGACGCGGUGGCCACCUGCCCUCCUCGCCGCUCCGCCGCCCUUCCCCUUUCGCGAGAUGUGCCGGUGCCGAGACUGCACCGGAACAGACAGACGCACAAUAUUGCACCAGCUGAGGUAGCGAAGGAGUCGAUCGAACAGCGAG